GGCCUUUUGAUUAUAAUUUAAGGUCUGACCUGCCCACUGAUUAUUUAAAUGGCCGCGGUAUUUUGACCGUGCAAAGGUAGCAUAAUCAUUAGUUUUUUAAUUGAAAGCUGGAAUGAAAGGUUUGAUAAAAAAAUUACUGUCUCAAUUUAAUUUUAAUUAGAAUUUUAUUUUUAAGUUAAAAAGCUUAAAUAUUUUUAAAAGACGAGAAGACCCUAUAGAGUUUUAUAAAAUUAUUUUUUGUAAUUUUAGGAUUUUAUUAUUAUUAUAAAUAAUUUUAUUUAAUUGGGGUGAUUAAAAAAUUUAAUAAACUUUUUUUAUAUUUUUACAUUUAUUAAUGAAAAUUUGAUCCAUAAAUUGUGAUUAAAAGAUUAAAUUACCUUAGGGAUAACAGCGUAAUUUUUUUUGAGAGUUCUAAUCGAAAAAAGAGAUUGCGACCUCGAUGUUGGAUUAAAGUUAAUUUUUGGUGUAGAAGCUAAAAAAUUAUGUCUGUUCGACCUUUAAAACUUUACA
rnacentral:rRNA from 1 species